rnacentral:tRNA from 1 species
UCCGGGGUAGCUCAGUGGUAGAGCAGGCGGCUGUUAACCGCUUGGUCGCAGGUUCGAAUCCUGUCCCCGGAGCCA